GGAUGACGUCAAAUCAUCAUGCCCCUUAUGACCUGGGCUACACACGUGCUACAAUGGGCAGAACAAAGGGCAGCGAAGCCGCGAGGCUAAGCCAAUCCCACAAAUCUGUUCUCAGUUCGGAUCGCAGUCUGCAACUCGACUGCGUGAAGCUGGAAUCGCUAGUAAUCGCGGAUCAGCAUGCCGCGGUGAAUACGUUCCCGGGCCUUGUACACACCGCCCGUCAAACCGACGAGAGUUUGUAACACCCGAAGUCGGUGAGGUAACCUUCUGGCAG
rnacentral:rRNA from 1 species